UAGAGGUAGGCGGAAUGUGCAUGUAGCGGUGAAAUGCUUAGAUAUGUCAGAACACCAAUUGCGAAGGCAGCUUGNCUAUNNNNUGAUUGACGCUGAGGCACGAAAGCGUGGGGAUCAAACAGGAUUAGAUACCCUGGUAGUCCACGCCCUAAACGAUGAUUACUCGAUGUU
rnacentral:rRNA from 1 species